AUAUUGAUGAGCUUCAAGCUUUCGCCCCUAUCAGAAAACUAAGAGAAACUUCUCAUGUUGAGUGCGUGAUUGGUCUUACUGAAAUGAAUCU